rnacentral:lncRNA from 1 species
CAAGAUCCGAUUCUAGUUUAUGCGUAAUCUAGGAUUAGGGUUAGAACGUAGUGAGAUGCUUGAUGCGGUUUACGUUAUUUUAUAGAAAUAGAAAACUAUGUAUGUACAUGAUGCGUGUUGGUAUGGUUUAUUUACUUCGUAAUUAAACAUUGUAUAUUCUAUAACUUUUAUUCCUUCAAUUUCUUGCAUUACAUGUUAUUUAUUAGAAAGAUUCACUAGCAACGGAGAAUAUUUCAAUAAUUUGUACAAAAUUAAUUUCCUCUUAGUAUAAGGCUCACAAUAUUUUCCAGCAACUAAAGAUUAUACAAAAUUCUUUUUCUUUUUUUGUGAAUUUAAGUAAUAAUUUCUUUCGUAUAUAGUAUCAAGUGAAAUCCAGCUAAUAUCCUUCUAGGAGGAAGGAGACCGUCAUCGUAUCAAAUUAUUUUUUAUGAUAGAGAUUUCAAAUCGAUAAUUGGAAUUGUUACAAUUGAUGAAGAAUAUUUGAAAGUAUCUAGAUACAAAAUUUUAUAAAUUUUAGAAAUUAUUUACUUAGUGAUCAAAAGAUCGUAAAAUCGACAGUUUUUAACAGCCUAUAUAAAUCGUUUGCUUGUUUAACGAUAUAGAGUAAUUCAUAUCUCUUUAAUUUUUAAUAAAAAAUUAUCUAUAUUAUUUAGAUAACUUUUAAUAACUUCGAUUAUGAAUUAAAAAAUAUAGCCUCUAUUUUCAUAAGGUUAUUAGUUUCUGACCAUUUAUUUUUCAACUCUUCGAUGAAUUUUAUAAUAGUUUAAAAAUAUUAUAAAAUUCGGUUUCUAAAUAUUUUUAAUAAUGUAGAUCAAUUUCAAAAAUGUCGAUUAUCAAUUUGAAGUCUCGAUCAUACAAAAUAACUUGAUAGGAUAGACGUCUUUCCUCUUAAAAGGAUAGUAGCUAGAUAUGUAUCAAGUUUGCAUACAACAAGUACACCGUAAAAUAUAUUUCCUACUUUUUUUUGUCUCAACUGAAAAA